GGCGAGUUUGAUCAUGGCUCAGGACGAACGCUGGCGGCGUGCUUAACACAUGCAAGUCGAGCGGUGAACCUGCUUCGGUGGGGGAUCAGCGGCGAACGGGUGAGUAACACGUGAGCAACCUGCCUUCAGCUUCGGGAUAACUCCGGGAAACCGGGGCUAAUACCGGAUAUGACUUCUCGCCGCAUGGUGGGGGGUGGAAAGAUUUAUCGGCUGGAGAUGGGCUCGCGGCCUAUCAGCUUGUUGGUGGGGUUGUGGCCUACCAAGGCGACGACGGGUAGCCGGCCUGAGAGGGCGACCGGCCACACUGGGACUGAGACACGGCCCAGACUCCUACGGGAGGCAGCAGUGGGGAAUAUUGCGCAAUGGGCGGAAGCCUGACGCAGCGACGCCGCGUGCGGGAUGAAGGCCUUCGGGUUGUAAACCGCUUUCAGCAGGGACGAAUACAGACGGUACCUGCAGAAGAAGCGCCGGCUAACUACGUGCCAGCAGCCGCGGUAAUAA
rnacentral:rRNA from 1 species